GGGGCUGACCUGGUUUCGACGGGAUCAAGUAGCUUUUGAUUGCAUGUCGGACUGAGCAACUCCGUUAUACGGCUCAAAAUUGCUUAAACGCAAACAAUACAAAUUAUCGCCCAGCUUUAGCAGUAGCUUAAGUUUAAACCCCUGCACCUAAGCAGUGUAGGCGGGCUGCUUCACCUAUGGACUCUAGAUAAGUAGGAUCUGAAGUAUAACCCCUAUGUAGAUAUACCUUAAGUCUGUCUCAGCUUAAGAUGAACCCUGAGGCUCGUUCUGUGUAGCUUUGCAAGUUGUGUGAAGCAGGAUUAAACUUUAACGACUUUUCUAAGCAUGUAGAGGUCAGGAGUAGCGUGGUUUCGGACUGGAGUUCGAUUCUCCACAGCUCCACCA
rnacentral:tmRNA from 1 species